GACGAACGCUGGCGGCGUGCCUAAUACAUGCAAGUCGAGCGGACGAACGGAAAGCUUGCUUUUGUUUCGUUAGCGGCGGACGGGUGAGUAACACGUGGGCAACCUGCCCUUUAGACUGGGAUAACACCGAGAAAUCGGUGCUAAUACCGGAUAACACGAAAUAUCGCAUGACUCUUCGUUGAAAGACGGCGCUGCUUUCAGCUACAGGAUGGGCCCGCGGCGCAUUAGCUAGUUGGUAAGGUAACGGCUCACCAAGGCGACGAUACGUAGCCGACCUGAGAGGGUGAUCGGCCACACUGGAACUGAGACACGGCCCAGACUCCUACGGGAGGCAGCAGUAGGGAAUCUUCCGCAAUGGACGAAAGUCUGACGGAGCAACGCCGCGUGAGCGAAGAAGGCCUUCGGGUCGUAAAGCUCUGUUGUUAGGGAAGAACAAGUAACGCAGUAACUGGCGUUACCGUGACGGUACCUAACGAGAAAGCCACGGCUAACUACGUG
rnacentral:rRNA from 1 species